GACGAACGCUGGCGGCGUGCUUAACACAUGCAAGUCGAACGGAAAGACCCUGCUUUUGUGGGGUGCUCGAGUGGCGAACGGGUGAGUAACACGUGAGUAACCUGCCCUUGACUUUGGGAUAACUUCAGGAAACUGGGGCUAAUACCGGAUAGGAGCUCCUGCUGCAUGGUGGGGGUUGGAAAGUUUCGGCGGUUGGGGAUGGACUCGCGGCUUAUCAGCUUGUUGGUGGGGUAGUGGCUUACCAAGGCUUUGACGGGUAGCCGGCCUGAGAGGGUGACCGGCCACAUGGGGACUGAGAUACGGCCCAGACUCCUACGGGAGGCAGCAGUGGGGAAUAUUGCACAAUGGGCGGAAGCCUGAUGCAGCAACGCCGCGUGCGGGAUGACGGCCUUCGGGUUGUAAACCGCUUUCGCCUGUGACGAAGCGUGAGUGACGGUAAUGGGUAAAGAAGCACCGGCUAACUACG
rnacentral:rRNA from 1 species